rnacentral:tRNA from 1 species
GCCCGUGUGGAUCAAUCGGAUCGCGCACUGGACUCACAAUCCAGGGGUCGCCGGUUUGAAUCCCGCGGCGGGCG